AUGGAGAUGGAGCAUGCUGUGAUCCAGCAGCAGAUCGUGGAGUAUCCCGAGGAGCAUGAGGUGGAGGUGGACGUGGACAACAUCAUGAAGACGGAGGUGGCGUACGGUUCCGGGGUUCACAGCACCGCGUUCAGGUACAAGCACAAGAAGAGGUCCAAGGUCUGGGAGGAGUACAAGCCCAUCUUCCUCAACGGCAAGGUCCAGUUCGCCGAGUGCCUCUACUGCCACAACCGGCUCAGCUGCAAGGACUCCAACGGCACGAGCCACCUGUGGCGGCACCAGAAGAUCUGCCCGGCCAAGUCGGAGGCGGCGGCGGCGGGUGAGGGGCAACAGAAGGAUUCCUACUUCCCCUAUGUUUUGGUGAAUGGAGACGGCCCAGUUUCACCAAUUGACCCGGUCAAUCAGAUUAUUUCGGAGACGCUUGAGGACAUCGGCUCAGCAACUCCCAGCAGAUUCAAGUCGAAGGUGUGGAAGGAGUUUACGCCCAUUUAUGUCGAGGGGAAACUCCAGGCUGCAGAUUGCAUUCACUGCCAAAAACGUCUCAGCGCAAAUAAGUUUGGAGGGAGAAGCCAUCUUAGUCGACAUCUCCUAACCUGUCCAGGACGGCUUGAAAGUCUCCACAAUCAACAUAAGUUUUUGUUUGAGCCUUCGAGUGCACCUAGUUUCAACUCCAGGGUGAAUGAUGAGCUCUCGCCUGCCUUGACAAAUGGGAAGGUUCAGAUUUCAGAAUACGCUAACAAGCUCCCCAGGACUAGUACCUCUGGUGACACCAUCCCCAUAGUCCAGCCCAUUCAAAUGCUGCCAGCACACCCACCACCAACAUCAGAUGGUGCAAGCCUGAAGAAACAGAGGACCUCAUUUACGAACAUUUCAACUGACAAGGGCGCCGGGAAGUUUUGUCAAGAAACAUCUUACCAAGAGCUAGCCAAAAUGAUAAUUCUACAUGCUUAUCCUUUUUCAGUUGUGGAGCAUGAAGAAAUGAGAAGAGUUAUAAAGAAUCUCAACCCUAUGGUUGGCAUGGUUUCUCAUAAUGAUAUGAAAGAUCAUUGCACUGCUUUAUUUCAGAAGGAAAAGGUAAAUAUUAAGGAUGUACUUACACUUUCCUCCCGACGUGUGUCUCUGUCAGCAAGCAUCUGGACUCCUGAUGGACCUGAGCCAACAGUAAAUUACCUCUGUUUGACAGCACAUUUUGUUGGUGAUGACUGGAAAGUUCACAGAGUAAUAAUCAAAUUUGGCAUGUUUUGGUCCUCACCUACUAAUUUGGAAAGGAUAAUACACUGCAAGGAGGCUUCUGUCCCGGAGUCUGAAAGUGGAUCGUACAAUGUCAUGUGGGAUGCAAUUAGAGACUGGAAUCUUGAUCAGAAGAUUUUGAGCUUGACUUCUGUUGGUGAUGUUAGGAACAAUGCAAAUACCGCUAAGCUAAAGGAAAUGCUCAUAGAAAAGAAGUGCCUUCCUAUUCGAGGCAAGCUAUACAACAUUGCUUGUCUGGACGACAUCUUAAAUAGUGUUGUUUCCGCAGGGCAAGCAGAUAUACUUCGCUUUGUUGGUGACGCAGUAAUGGAAUUUUUUGUGGCACAUGCAUCUUCACCUUCAGCCCAACAACAGCUUCUGGAAGUCAUUUCACAGAUGAGUUUGAAGUGUCCACAAGAAGAUGCCAAGUGGUGGCACAAAUUUUAUUUUAGGCUUGAAGUUCUUUUGCAUUUCAAGAAGUCAUUUCCUUCUGAAGAAGUGCUGAAUCUAGAAGAUAUGAAUGUUGCUGAGUCUAUUUGCAAGAUUUUGAGGACGUUUUAUCGUGUCAUUGAAGUAAUAUCUUGCCCUGGCUCUGUCACAGCAAAUAUAUACUUUAAUGAGGUUUGGAAAGUGCGGACGGUGUUGCAAGAAGAAGCAUCAAAUGGUAAUGGAGAAUUUUCUAGAAUGGUUAUGGAGAUGCAGGAAGCGUUCCAUGGGUAUUGGCAAAAUUCAUACUUGUGGUUGUCAAUACCUGUUGUUCUGGAUCCUAGAUUUAAAAUCGGUUUCAUUGAGUUUCGUCUGAAGCGAGCUUUUGGCACAAAUUUCGAGAGCUACUUAUCUGACAUACGCGAAACAGUCCGUGAACUCUUUAAUGAAUACUGCAACCCUACAGAUCUGCCAAGCGCAGCUUCAAAUAGUUCAGCUUUGGAUGUGGAUAAUGAUUUAUUGGAAGAUUGGGAUCAGCAUCUCAAUGAACAAGCGAGUUGUCAGAUAUCUACAGAACUUGAUGACUACCUCGAAGAGGGUCUAGUUCCAAGAAAGGAUGAGUUUGACAUUCUAAACUGGUGGAUGAAUCAUACCACAAAGUACCCAACGCUAGCAGCUAUGGCACAGGACAUAUUAGCUAUGCCAGCUUCUGCUGUCCAAUCUGAAGCAGCAUUCAGCAGCAGCGGACCCGUAAUUCCAAAGCACUACAGCACAUUGAACAUCAAGACUAUUGAAGCGCUUGUGUGUGCUCGAGACUGGAUGAGAUAA
rnacentral:rRNA from 1 species